rnacentral:lncRNA from 1 species
UCUAUGCAUCAAGUUUAAUUAAUUGUUUUCUCCAUUUUCUUCCUCCUUUAUCACUGCAAUUAAACAUCAGAUUUGUGUCCUUCGUCGGUGCAAGGAAAUGGGCAAUCAAAAAAUAUAGUUGCGGAUUCAAACAAUCUUUUGUUGGUGUUUGAUCGAUUGUAUUAUUGUAACUAAGCCUGAUUUGUGCACAAAUCGAAGUACUUCCACGUCAAAUGGUAUCACAGUUGUUAGAUG